UACGAAGGGGGCUAGCGUUGUUCGAAAUUACUGGGCGUAAAGCGCACGCAGGCGGCUCGAUAAAUUAGAAGGGAAAGCCCCGGGCUUAACCUGGGAAUUGCUUUUAAGACUGUCGGGCUAGAAUCCAGAAGAGGGUAGUGGAAUUCCGAGUGUAGAGGUGAAAUUCGUAGAUAUUCGGAAGAACACCAGUGGCGAAGGCGACUACCUGGUCUGGCAUUGACGCUCAUGUGCGAAAGCGUGGGGAGCAAACAGG
rnacentral:rRNA from 1 species